UCUUUUAUCACCUUUACCAAUUUCACUUCGAAAAUCAGAAAUCCUUCUCCUUCCUGCUCCACUCGUCAACAGUACCGUCUUUCUCUCUCAAGAUGCCAAACCCAUAUCUUCUCCAUCUCUCCCUAAUCAAUUAGAUGUCCAAUUCGUACUCCUAUUGUUUUAGUCAUUUCAAGCUUACCCUAGAUAUCAAUAGUUGUUACUCGAGGAACAAUAGGCCGGAGAAUUUGUCCUAAGAACAAUGAGAAUAGCGAAGGGAAGGUCUGAAUUUCUUGUUCUCUAUAACAUCAACAUCGUCAAAUAAUAGGGUGGCUGUAAACUGAAGACUCCAUCGGUGGUACCUAUGGUGCUGCUGUUCAAACCAAGGAAAAAGAGAAAAGGGAGCAGCAGAACCAGUUUUUCGAGCCUAAACCCGGUUAUAUACCGGCGGUGCCAAAUGUUGAAGUUAGGAAUAAUGGAUCCAACAAUGAUGACUUGAGCAACCAUGGAGC